rnacentral:rRNA from 1 species
UACGUAUGGAGCAAGCGUUAUCCGGAUUUACUGGGCGUAAAGGGAGCGUAGGCGGCCUGCCAAGUCUGAUGUGAAAUCCCGGGGCUCAACCCCGGAACUGCUUUUAAAACUGCUGUGCUUGAGUGAUGGAGAGGAAAGCGGAAUUCCUAGUGUAGCGGUGGAAUGCGUAGAUAUUAGGAGGAACACCAGAGGCGAAGGCGGCUUUCUGGACAUUAACUGACGCUGAGGCUCGAAAGCGUGGGGAGCAAACAGG